AUUGAACGCUGGCGGCAGGCCUAACACAUGCAAGUCGAACGAGUGGCGGACGGGUGAGUAAUGUCUGGGAAACUGCCUGCUGGAGGGGGAUAACUACUGGAAACGGUAGCUAAUACCGCAUACCAUCAGAUGUGCCCAGAUGGGAGUAGCUCGUAGGUGGGGUAACGGCUCACCUAGGCGACGAUCCCUAGCUGGUCGGAGAGGAUGACCAGACACACUGUAACUGCGACACGGUCCAGACUCCGACGGGAGGCAGCAGUGGGGAAUAUUGGACAAUGGGGGAAGGCCUGAUGCAGCCAGGCCGCGUGUAUGAAGAAGGCCUGCGGGUUGUAAGGUACUUUCAGCGGGGAGGCGUUACCCGCAGAAGAAGCACCGGCUAACUCCGUGCCAGCAGCCGCGGUAAUAC
rnacentral:rRNA from 1 species